GAUGAACGCUAGCGGCAGGCUUAAUACAUGCAAGUCAAGGGGGUAGCAAUACAACCGGCGCACGGGUGAGUAACGCGUACACAACAUGCCAUAUACUGGGGUAUAGCUUUGGGAAACUGAAGGUAAUCCCCCAUAGUAUUGCGGGUAGGCAUCUAUCUGCAAUUAAAGUUUCGACGGUAUAUGAUUGGUGUGCGUUCCAUUAGCUAGUUGGUAGGGUAACGGCCUACCAAGGCGACGAUGGGUAGCUGGCGUGAGAGCGCGACCAGCCACACUGGAACUGAGACACGGUCCAGACUCCUACGGGAGGCAGCAGUAGGGAAUAUUGGACAAUGGGCGAAAGCCUGAUCCAGCCAUGCCGCGUGAUAGAUGAAGGCCCUCUGGGUUGUAAAUAUCUUUUAUCUGGGAAGAAACUCCUCUAUUCUUAGAGGCCUGACGGUACCAGAGGAAUAAGCACCGGCUAACUCCGUG
rnacentral:rRNA from 1 species